GUCUUUAGGUUCAUCAAGUCAGCGAGCUGAUUCAGUUAACCCGAUGAGAUUUUAAGCUGAGUCAUCAGGUUCAGGAAUAAAAAGCCUCAAUUUGGUGGGCUAUGUUGGAAUUCACAGCUCAUGAUUCAGAGAUUUCAUUCUAAAGUCGGAGCUUCUUCGAGUCAUUAUAUCACUUUGUGCUAACCAAUCUUUG